rnacentral:lncRNA from 1 species
AAGAAUUUAUUUAGGCCUAACCCUGAAUUUUUUGGGCCUCAACAUUAGCCCCCUUAAUUAUAAGGGCCAUGGACUGGUGCUAGAAUGGGCCGAAUAAUUAAACCUAACCCAAAAAUUAAAUUCCAGCAGUUACUUGCAAUUUCCCAAAGCCAACUUCCUCAUUCCUCCUAUUUAUUUAUUAUUUAUUUACUCUUCUCUUUCCUCUUUUCGCGCACCAGAACAACACUUUUUCCAUCACUCUUCUCUUCCUUCUCUUUCCUUCCUUCAACGAACUCAGAGCGAGAAAGAGAGUGAGAUCGAGCAAAAAACCACCAGUCAUUAGCCACGAGAAGGGAGCUCGAGUCGAAACCGACUCCGUCACCCCCCCAAAUAUGAAGAAACCCACUUGUCGUCGCUAGAGGAGACCUCUUCGUGCGGGCUUUUAUUCUAGAAUCCCCAAUUUCCUCCUUUCUUGGUGCAUAUGAAGCCAUCCUUUGGGGGAUUAACAAGGUAUGUCAUUUUCUCCUGUCUUUUCUUGAAUCUAUUGAGGAGUUUGUUGGGUUCUUUACACCCAUGUGUUUUGCUCUCCG